rnacentral:rRNA from 1 species
UACGUAGGGUGCAAGCGUUAUCCGGAAUUAUUGGGCGUAAAGGGCUCGUAGGCGGUUUGUCACGUCGGGAGUGAAAACUCAGGGCUUAACCCUGAGCCUGCUUCCGAUACGGGCAGACUAGAGGUAUGCAGGGGAGAAUGGAAUUCCUGGUGUAGCGGUGAAAUGCGCAGAUAUCAGGAGGAACACCGGUGGCGAAGGCGGAUCUCUGGGCCGAUACUGACGCUGAGGAGCGAAAGCGUGGGGAGCGAACAGG